rnacentral:rRNA from 1 species
UACGUAGGGGGCUAGCGUUGUCCGGAAUCAUUGGGCGUAAAGCGCGUGUAGGCGGUUCAGUAAGUCUGCUGUGAAAGUCCAGGGCUCAACCCUGGGAUGCCGGUGGAUACUGCUGAACUAGAGUGCGGAAGAGGCGAGUGGAAUUCCCGGUGUAGCGGUGAAAUGCGCAGAUAUCGGGAGGAACACCAAUUGCGAAGGCAGCUCGCUGGGACGUUACUGACGCUGAGACGCGAAAGCGUGGGGAGCAAACAGG